AAAAUUUUAGUUUAAAUAAAAUAAUUUAUUUACAAUAAAUAGAUUUAGUUUCUAAAAAUUUUA
rnacentral:tRNA from 1 species